rnacentral:rRNA from 1 species
GAUGAACGCUGGCGGCGUGCCUAAUACAUGCAAGUCGAGCGAACAGACGAGGAGCUUGCUCCUCUGACGUUAGCGGCGGACGGGUGAGUAACACGUGGAUAACCUACCUAUAAGACUGGGAUAACUUCGGGAAACCGGAGCUAAUACCGUAUAAUAUAUUGAACCGCAUGGUUCAAUAGUGAAAGACGGUUUUGCUGUCACUUAUAGAUGGAUCCGCGCCGCAUUAGCUAGUUGGUAAGGUAACGGCUUACCAAGGCGACGAUGCGUAGCCGACCUGAGAGGGUGAUAGGCCACACUGGAACUGAGACACGGUCAAGACUCCUACGGGAGGCAGCAGUAGGGAAUCUUCCGCAAUGGGCGAAAGCCUGACGGAGCAACGCCGCGUGAGUGAUGAAGGUCUUCGGAUCGUAAAACUCUGUUAUUAGGGAAGAACAAAUGUGUAAGUAACUAUGCACGUCUUGACGGUACCUAAUCAGAAAGCCACGGCUAACUACGUG